GCGUCGCCGGGGCGGGUCCCCCUCAAAGCCCUGGGGGACUCGUGCCCGGAAGGGGGGGCGGCGCCCACAGGCUCCUUCGCUGGCAGGGCCUCCAGCUCCGUAGAAUGCGAGGGUCACCUCCUGGUCCACAAUGGCUUCUUCCCCUGUUGGCUAGCAUGUUCAUAUUCUAGACAGCAGGUAAGAGAGAAGGCCAAAGGAGAAAAGAGAUCACGAGCCAGGGGCUUUUUGAAGUUUCUUGGAAGGAACUCUCAUGCUGUAUGGAGAGACAAGCCAGGGCAAGCAAACUUAGUAAAAGGAAUGUGUCACAUGUGCUUAAGGCUGCUAGUGCUGUUUGUCAUUUCUUGCAAAAGCCUGGUGAAGCUUUAGUUGCUGGUAAGUAGAGCUUGAAGUUCAUCUGUUCAUGGAAACAUUAAGCCUAGACUAAAGAAUUGCUGUCAUUUUAGCUAGUACCUCGUUUUCUAUACUUUAAAAAUAUAAACUGUUCUUAAUCAUUUUUACAAUCAUUUUUAUGACUGUUAUCUGUGUUGGAAAACACUAGGGAAAAUAAUAAUAAUAAUCUGAAUUCUAGAUUUUUGGGCACUGUUGUAAAUUUCUAGGUGUUUUUGUUUGAUAUUUUUAAAAUUACUUAAUUGGAAAGAAGAUCAAGAGAAAACAAUGUUUCAAAACAUUUGCAGUUCUUGAUAUAUGACUCAGAAAUGAGUAAGGCUAGGGAUAGGUUUGUUUGAUGUGCCAAAAUAUAUUUUAACGUUGCAUGAAAAAAACCCAGCUCUUUAAUGUUGGAUCUCAGGAGUCUCACUAAAUAUUUUUUUGAUGAAAUAGAUAAGACCAUUAUAGACUCUGGGCUCUAGUCCUUGGGCUCGUUUGUUUGUGGGUAUAAACAUGCCCUUUUUCUUUUGAAACUUUUGGAGAAUAUUUUCCAGAUACAGUUUUUAUUCAUUUUAGACACUGAAAAUAUAUGUCUAGUUUAUACAGAUCUGUG
rnacentral:lncRNA from 1 species